rnacentral:lncRNA from 1 species
UAGGAAUUCUGCUUUAACUUGUUCCUGCUUGUGGUGCAUACUACAGAAUGAAAUUAACAGCUCUAAAUACUCUGAAGUCCAAAGAAGUUGUAUGUUGGGUGGGCUCCCUUCAACUUUAACAUGGAAGUGCUUUCUGUGACUUUAAAAGAUCUGGACUUACCUCAAUUGCUUUUGCUGCUUGUUCUUUUGUUUCAAAUUCCACAAACGCAAAUCCCUUUGGAUCUCCAGUAGACUUAUAAUGUGGUAUACUUAUAUAAACAACAUUGCCACAUUUCCCAAAUACUCUUUCAAUCCAGCUGUGAUUAACAUUUUUGGGAAGUAACUCCUAUUAUAAAUUAAAAGCAAUAUUAGAGUUUUUCACAAUCAGAAUGUCAAUAAAUUUUUAACUUAAUUAUAUUGUUUCUGUGCCAGUUUCUGACUGGGGACCCGGGUUCUUAAGCUUACCACAUACACUGUGCGUUCAUCCUCAUCCUUUGGUCUUUCCCCCAGAGGUUUUUUCCUCCGGAUUCUGGUGCCUUCCAAAUCAAGCUUUAAAAUAGUAUAUUACAUUAAUAAAACUAAUAUUAUUUAUAAUUGUAAGCUAUAAUCAUAUAAUAAUCAUUACGUUAACAUUCUUUAUAAUUAUAAACUAUAAAUAUAA